GAGGGGUUAGUUAAUUAAUAACCUCGCCUUGUCAAGACAAAAUUACAGGUUAAACCCCUGUACUCCUCC
rnacentral:tRNA from 1 species